CCUACGGGAGGCAGCAGUGAGGAAUAUUGGUCAAUGGACGCAAGUCUGAACCAGCCAAGCCGCGUGCAGGAAGACGGCUCUAUGGGUUGUAAACUGCUUUUGUACGGGGGUAAACGCAGCUACGCGUGUCUGUCUUAAAGGAUCGUACGAAUAAGGAUCGGCUAACCCCGGGCCAGCCGCCGCGGGAAUACGGAGGAUUCAAGCGUUAUCCGGAUUUAUUGGGUUUAAAGGGUGCGUAGGGGGGCGGAUAAGUUAGAUGUGAAAUCUCGAGGCUCAACUUCGGAAUUGCCUUUGAUACUGUUGUGCUAGAGAGUAGUAGCGGUAGGCGGAAUGCAUGGUGUAGCGGUGAAAUGCUUAGAGAUCAUACAGAACACCGAUUGCGAAGGCAGCUUACCAAGCUACUACUGACGUUGAGGCACGAAAGCGUGGGGAGCAAACAGGAUUAGAUACCCUAGUAGUC
rnacentral:rRNA from 1 species